GACGAACGCUGGCGGCGUGCCUAAUACAUGCAAGUCGAACGAGUGGCGGACGGGUGAGUAAUGUAUGGGGAUCUGCCCGAUAGAGGGGGAGAAAUACUGGAAACGGUGGCUAAUACCGCAUACUAUCGGAUGAAACCAUAUGGGAUUAGCUAGUAGGUGGGGUAAAGGCUCACCUAGGCGACCAUCUCUAGCUGGUCUGAGAGGAGGAUCAGCCACACGUGGACUGAACCACGGCCCAGACUCCUACGGGAGGCAGCAGUGGAGAAUAUUGCACAAUGGGCGAAAUCCUGAUGCAGCCAUGCCGCGUGUAUGAAGAAGGCCUUAGGGUUGUAAAGUACUUUCAGCGGGGAGGCGUUAUCCGCAGAAGAAGCACCGGCUAACUCCGUGCCAGCCGCCGCGGUAAUUC
rnacentral:rRNA from 1 species